UAGGGAAUCUUCGGCAAUGGACGAAAGUCUGACCGAGCAACGCCGCGUGAGUGAAGAAGGUUUUCGGAUCGUAAAACUCUGUUGUUAGAGAAGAACAAGGACGUUAGUAACUGAACGUCCCCUGACGGUAUCUAACCAGAAAGCCACGGCUAACUACGUGCCAGCAGCCGCGGUAAUACGUAGGUGGCAAGCGUUGUCCGGAUUUAUUGGGCGUAAAGCGAGCGCAGGCGGUUUCUUAAGUCUGAUGUGAAAGCCCCCGGCUCAACCGGGGAGGGUCAUUGGAAACUGGGAGACUUUAGUGCAGAAGAGGAGGGUGGAAUUCCAUGUGUAGCGGUGAAAUGCGUAGAUAUAUGGAGGAACACCACUGGCGAAGGCGGCUCUCUGGUCUGUAACUGACGCUGAGGCUCGAAAGCGUGGGGAGCAAACAGG
rnacentral:rRNA from 1 species